rnacentral:lncRNA from 1 species
CGCGUCGAAUAGAUAAUUUGAUUAAAACCUUCGUUACCACCCACGUUGAGCAUUGCAUCAGCUAACUAGACUUUCCAUCGACGACAUCACGAAACAGCCGGUUUCGAGCCUAGACCACCUUGUGUGUCUCGAGGUUAAGAAGGGAAGUACGCUACCCCUGUAGCAUCACUGGGGGGCACUCGGGUGGUAUUCUGGUAACAAACUCUGAUUGUUUACUAAUGAAUUAGCUUUAUUUCAGGGACCGUUGGGAUACUGUGAUUACGGAAGAAGCCACAUCUGGCUUGGCUACAGUAGACAGGGUAAAUGCGAUGGAGGCGUUCCAAUGGCCACCUAAUUCACCAGGUAACCUCUGUACCGCCUGCAUGUGACGAAGGAGUUAAUGUGAAAUCGAAUGCAGCGGAUCCACCACAAGAAAGGUACCACGAACUUGUGCAUUAGUUAUUGAGGUAAACGUAACCUGUUGUGAUCGUCCGGCGCACACGAAAUCCUGGAAUCCAUGGCCCUGUGGCCUCGUUCGUACUCUUGUAAAACGUUCCGCUUGACGAGGGCCUUAAACUCCAAGGCCGUAGCCUUGGAGUUUAAGGAGAGAGGAGCCAGUAGCCAUGCAAAACGUGUACAAAGGCUAAUCUGCGCUACGGUUGGGCACAAAACGUGGUGAUGAAAAGCAAGAAUGCAUUGAAGCUGACAAUAGAAGAUGCAUUGAAGCUGACAAUAGAAGAUGCAUUGAAGCUGACAAUAGAAGAUGCGUUGAAGCUGACAAUAGAAGAUGCACUGAAGGACGAAUUAAUCGUCAGGCUGAACUGGCGCAUUAGCGAAACGCUUACGUUUAGGGAAAAGCCACUGCUAUGAUUAGUAUACGGUCGUGCGGUAGAUAUGAAGCCGCUGAAUGCCUUCCACCCGAAAACUCAUAUUAAGCUAUCGCUGUUCAACAUCUCUAGCUUUGUGUUAAAGGUGAAUCCAAGAUCAACAGAAUGCUAACAAAUUCUUACUGGGCCGGAAGGAAAGACAGAAAAAAAAUUUAUUCUAAGAAUGCGCGGCAUGCUCAAGGAAUUAAGCAGAAGGAGCUAAAGCGUCGUAAAGAAUGGUUUGGUCAAAGGACGGGCUCGGAGGACAAACGUCGCAGCGACUGACCACCUUGCCAGAAUGCCCACAUAUCCGACACCUAUUCAACGGUGUGUCAAAAUAGGAACGAGGAUUUGACCUUGUGAUUUAGUGAAGCGGACGAUAAACGAUAACAGAUUCCACUCAGGACCGAAAGACGGCGAGCUUUGGUUCUCAUUGCUCUAACUAAAACGGUAUACGGCAUCCGUUUUUGCUGCCGUAUUCAUAACGGAUCAUGGCAAAAUUUUUUAGUCGAGUUAAUGUCCCAGUACUUGCCGUUGUUGGAGCUUGUUAACCGCGGCAAGCACCUUUCGCUCUGUUGGGAUCUCCAGAGCCUAAUAACGAUUCUAGAGCCUUCCGCAACCGGUUCUAUUAUCCAAAAUCUAGCGCAUUAACUUGUUCCAGAACUAGGGGCCCACUGCUGUAGAAAACUGUAACGGGAAUCCGUAACUCUUUCUUGUUCUUCUCGAAGCCGCAUAAACCAUCGACGAAGGCAGAUUUCAAAGGCUAUAACAAAGCUAAAAUAUAGCUCUAGACCAUUAACAAACAAAAAAGAGGACAUAAGCAAAGACAGUUAAAUUCUCCCAAAGAUUCUUCUUAUUCCAGGAACUACCCAACCUGAAAGCCCCCUUACAAUAACCGAGUUUUCAAAGAAGCUGUUGGUGUCGAGUUCGAAUUACAUAAAGUUAUCUGCAAUCGAGACAAAGUCUUGUUUUUUUGUUAAUACGGAGUGGACAGCGAAAUUGGCAGCUAUGAAAGGUAUGCUCAAGCUCAGAAAGAGAUGUUUGACGAUAUGCAUAAGUAAAACUUUUAUUUGUGUUCGGUGAAAUUGGAAUUACCUUAAACAUUAAAACACCGACUAUCAACAAUGAUAUAUUGGAUCGAACAGACGGGGCUAUGUGAGAGCAAAGAUUCGAUAGAAACAGCCAAGUCAGAUUAUCCGUGACGAAGAUCGGUGAAGACAAAUUAACCCUUCUUGCACCUGCUGUAUGCCAAUUAGAUCAAACAAAUUAGACGCCGGUAGUUUGCAAUCGGUUUAGCAACAAUUAGCAACAGUACAGUUUGACAGUAUAUAAGGCCUCAGAAAUGGCCGAACGAGUCUCUCAGCACCAUAGCUGAGGGUCUCAGACGAGACGGAAUAAAUAAAUAACAAAGAAAAACAAUUGAGAAAUGGAAAACGACGGCAAAUAUAUAACAAAUUAUCUUCGUAAAAAUGCCUUUAUCAUAAAGUGAAAAAGCGUACCCCAUUUUCUAACCAACCUAAUAAAACAGUGUAUUGUAGUUAACGUGUCUGCUGGUAACGACUAUAAUGGCAAUGAGCUCAAAGAUUUUUGUGUGACCUGCCUCCAUUGUUUAGGUUCACCAUAGAGUAAGCUUAUGACAGGAAGCUUAUGGAAUAUUAAACAAAUUCAUAUGUAGCGACUAGCGUUUCCAGAAGCGGUGUCUAAAGAAACAACAGGUUUCACGAUGACUUUACCGAGAUGUAGAGUUUAUUUUCUAAUAAAGGUUUGAUGCACAAAGAAACUCAUAUAGUCAAAAAGAGUUUCGGUAAUUUAAUCAAGUUCCUCCGCUUUCUGCCUCUGAAUGUAUCAUUAUAGUUAGAUAGAACUUAAACGAUCCUUCGUCUGUCAUAUCAUUGCCCUGGCUUUUACUUAGCUAUCCGUAUGUAAAUUAUGGUGUAGACACAGUUUAAGCUUAGGCAGACUUUUAUACUUCCCAGCGUCUAACCAUUUAGGGUUCGUACUGAUGACGAGUGGACACAUAUUUAUGAGUUUAUUCUUUUUUUUUUCUUUAUAUACAUUCUAUCACUUAGGUAGAUUUUCCAGAGUAUCGAAUUCAACUCAGAGUUCAUAAGGAGGAAAGAUAACAGCAAAUAUAUUUGUUGUUAUUAAAUCGUUUCUUCUGUAUCAGUGUUUGUAAGAAGCAAAAACGUUUCCCACAACAAAAAACUGUGCAUUUAGCGUUCUGCAGCUGACAUCGUGCAAGGACCAUAUUAUCGUAAUCGGAUCAUUGCAGGUCGUAACGGAAUAAAUCUUACCGUUACCUACAGAAAUCGAUCAUAGAUUCGUUGUACUAUUUUCCCCAACCAUUUUCGAGUGGUGGAAGGUAGCAUACGGUUUCUCAAUGAACGUGUUUGCGAUAGCAUAGGCCGACUUCAGUUUCUAGUCUUUCUUAUAGUUUUUAAUGAUACUUCAAGAUUUAGCUAUUAUUGUUCUGCCGGGUGUUGGAGAAAUCAAGAAAUCAUCCACUUCAUCCCUUGUAAACUUUCAAUGACUAGUCGCGAGCUAGCAAGUCAUAUGUCCUUUAGAAAUAUACCAAUAAAAAUAGUACAAACGGUAUUAAGAGGCCCAGCAUACCAUGCCUUGCCGAAAAAUAUCAGAAAAGCCAAAUAUUCUAGAGGGAUAAUAGGACUGAAAGAAAAAUUUGACCAGAAAGCGUGUAAUAUACGUAGAACAAGUGGCGUCAAGUGGCCACUUGUAUCGAAGUUGUGUAGAGGAUCCAAAACCCAACAACGGCAUAAAAUAGAAUUCGGUAUUCUGUACAAAGUAUUGGAGACCUUGGCAUGAUAUGCGGUGCAAGUGAGUCAAUACGAGUUAGUCGCAAUGGAUCCGAGUGCGUUUUAACUUUGUCGUAUUCUAUACAAUUGGUUAUUUCUGUUUCCCGUUUCAGCUUUCGGAUGAUCGUUUAUUAUAUUUACUUUGCUAUUUUCCACGUAUGAGGCUUGUUACAAAUGGGCUUCCUGUGCAAAGGUCGACUUAAAAUUGAUCUACGGAAAAGACAUAUAGGGAACCUCAAGCGGCUAUCAAACAUGGCGUAUUCGCGUGUCUAUCGAGCAUGAGUACAGUCUUACUUGAUGGUUCUGUACACCACUCGUCUAAAAUCUUUCCACGAAGGAAUACAUGCUAAACGGAGCGCUGUCUAAGCACGGAUUGGCAUGAUCGAUAUAGAAUCUCUAAGAAACUAGUUGUUAGGUGGCGUUGAUACAUUGAAUUGCACUGGAUUUUAAUAAAGUAACGCUACCAGCAGAAAAUAUUAAAGGUUGUG